rnacentral:rRNA from 1 species
AGCUCUGUAAGCGUAUACCAAAGUUGUUGCAGUUAAAACGCUCGUAGUCGGAUUUUGGGGCAGCCCGUGCUGUGCGCGUAGUGCGUGCGGCGCUGGGAUGUUCUUUUGUGGAGGGCGGCGCGUCGUGGCUUCACUGUCGCGGCGUGUCGGCGCCACCGUUUACUGUGAAAAAAUUAGAGUGUUCAAAGCAGGCGUUUGCCGUGAAUACAUUAGCAUGGAAUAAUAGAAUAGGACUUGGUUUCUAUUUUGUUGGUUUGUGAGAGCCGAGUAAUGAUUAAGAGGGACGGUUGGGGGCAUUUGUAUUCCAGCGUCAGAGGUGAAAUUCUUGGAUUGCUGGAAGACAAACCGCUGCGAAAGCGUCUGCCAAGGACGUUUUCAUUGAUCAAGAACGAAAGUACGC